UGCAUAGCUCAGUCAGUAGAGCAUGAGAAUCUUAAUUUCCAGGCUGUGGAUUUGAGCCCCACAUUUGGCAAAA